rnacentral:tRNA from 1 species
CCUCAGAUAAUUCAGUGGUAAAGCAUUUGCUUGGCAUGCAGAAGGCUCCAGGUUCAAUCCCUGGCAUCUGCAGGA